rnacentral:rRNA from 1 species
UCCUGGCUUAGGACGAACGCUGGCGGCGUGCUUAACACAUGCAAGUUGAACGGUAUGACAUGGAAGCUUGCUGAAGUGUCAUAUAGUAGCGGACGGGUGAGUAAUGCAUGAGAAGCUGCCAUUGGGAGGGGGACAACAGUUGGAAACGGCUGCUAAUACCCCGUAUGCCGGAGGGUGAAAGGGAGUAAUCCGCCCGAUGAGGUGCUCAUGUCCUAUCAGCUGGUUGGUGGGGUAACGGCCUACCAAGGCGACGACGGGUAGCCGGCCUGAGAGGGUGAACGGCCACACUGGAACUGAGAUACGGUCCAGACUCCUACGGGAGGCAGCAGUGGGGAAUAUUGGGCAAAUGGGGGCAACCCUGACCCAGCGACGCCGCGUGGGGGAAGACGGCCUUCGGGUUGUAAACCUCUUUUGUACGGGAAGAAGGAAGUGACGGUACUGUACGAAUAAGUCCCGGCUAACUACGUGCCAGCAGCUGC